rnacentral:lncRNA from 1 species
AUUAUUUUCAUACAAUAAACGUGUAUUUUCUAUACAAAAAUUCCGGUUUUAUAUUUACAUUCCUGGUAGAAGCAAACACGUGGUCUAAAUAAACACAGUUCCUAAUGUGCUGAAGUGAUUUGUCCAAAGUGUUAAGUUAAAUAACUUAAUAACAUUUAAAUAAUCUUAACAGAUAAAUAUCGCCUAUCAUUACACGAAACAAAUUAAGUCUUAAAACGUUUAAUAAGUAAUUUAAUAAAAAAAAUCAUCAAGCAAUUUGUGAAAUUACAUAAGUUUGUGCUAAUGCCAAAAUACAUUGUAAUUUAAAUACUCUAUAACUUUUUGUUGGAAAAAUAUUUCUUCGAUCUAUCAAUGCACAUAGUUAUCAAGCUUUAUGGUUUUUAAUGGCUGUAAAUCGUCAUCAAGUUUUCGAGAAAUAAAUUAAAGCCGAAUCAAAACGUGCAUCGCAGUUUGUUCGUCGGUGAGAGAGACUGAUUAAAGAUUAACAAGAACUAGAGAGUUUGGUGUCGUCGUAAACGUCGAACAGCGCCGGUCGUGCAAAAAUUAUUAGCAAUCUCUGGUCCAAUUUUCAACACUGUGCUCGUUGUUCUAGGGAAGUUUUGGCGGACAAAAUAAACGCUUCGCGAAAUGUUGCUGCUCGGCAUGGAGGGGAGAAAGGCAACAGGAGAAGAGGACGAUGCAACUUUUACAAUUGUCCGGUCAUUUAAAAUAGAGCAAAGUUUUUACGAGGACAGUUGCGCUUGAGGAAAACUCCGUAAUAGUGGCAUGUUUCCUACUACAAUGGUUACAGUCGCUGGAUGUUUUUUCGAACAGUUUCGGUUUCCUGUGCAUCAAAAUUGGUCAAAUUUUUGUCGAAUGUUACUAACGAACUAUGGAUAUGCAAAUUUGUAUCUCCGCACAAUUGGUGAAAAAGAAUCGGAAUAGAAUUAUUUUUCACAUUUUUUGCGCACCUAAAGUUCCCGUAAAUGAAAUAAAAUGAAA